rnacentral:snoRNA from 1 species
UACUAUGAUGACACAAUUACCCAUUUGUGCGAAGAGGCGUCUUCAUUGAACCUCGAUGAUGCUACAAAUAGACUACAACGGUAUCUGAUG